UACGGAGGGGGCUAGCGUUGUUCGGAAUUACUGGGCGUAAAGCGCACGUAGGCGGCUUUGCAAGUUAGAGGUGAAAGCCCGGAGCUCAACUCCGGAAUUGCCUUUAAAACUGCAUCGCUAGAAUUGUGGAGAGGUAAGUGGAAUUCCGAGUGUAGAGGUGAAAUUCGUAGAUAUUCGGAAGAACACCAGUGGCGAAGGCGACUUACUGGACACAUAUUGACGCUGCGGUGCGAAAGCGUGGGGAGCAAACAGG
rnacentral:rRNA from 1 species